ACUCGUGUUUUCCUAAGUGGGGCAAAGUAGAGCAACAUUUAUUUAUAGUCAUGUUUUGUGUCAACACAACACUUAGAUUCCGUCAUCCUCUCUCAUUGAACCGUAGCUGUCUGAUCUCUCUUCAAUCAAAACCCAAAACUUGCUUCUUCAGGUACUUGAUCGCUUGUUUAAUCAAGAAUUUGCUGCUGGAAACGGUCCAAAGAGCAUAAAGUGUUAGAGCUCCCCAAGAAGCAUACUUGCUCGAAAUGGAUCAGCAAGGAAACGGACAACCUCCAGGUGUUGGAGUCGUUACUACAUCUACUCCAAUGCUAUAUGGUGCUCCAUACCAUGCUACUAACCAAAUGGCAGGGCCGCCUUCUCCUCCCGUGUCAGCUGGUGCACAAACAGUUGGUCUUCCUGCAUCUUCAGCUCAGAUGGCACAACAUCAGAUUGCUUAUCAGCACAUCCACCAACAGCAGCAGCAACAAUUGCAGCAACAACUACAAAAUUUCUGGGCAAAUCAAUAUCAAGAAAUUGAGCACGUUAAUGAUUUCAAGAAUCACAGCCUGCCAUUGGCAAGGAUCAAGAAAAUCAUGAAGGCAGAUGAAGAUGUUAGAAUGAUAUCUGCGGAAGCACCAGUUGUAUUUGCUCGGGCUUGUGAGAUGUUUAUCCUUGAGUUGACACUCCGUGCAUGGAACCACACUGAGGAGAACAAAAGGAGGACACUCCAGAAAAAUGACAUUGCAGCAGCUAUAACAAGGACAGACAUAUUUGAUUUCUUGGUUGACAUUGUUCCAAGAGAGGACUUGAAAGAUGAAGUGCUUGCAUCAAUUCCUAGAGGGAACCUACCUGUUGGAGGCCCUGCCGAGGGUCUCCCAUACAAUUAUUAUAUGCCUAUGCAAUCUGCUCCUCAGAUUGGAGCUUCAGGGAUGUAUAUGGGGAAGCCUGCUGAUCAAGCUCUUUAUGGACAGCCUCCCCGUCCUUAUAUGGCUCAGCCAAUCUGGCCCCAGCAACAGCAACAGCAACAGCAACCACCAUCAGACUCUUAAGCAUCUGGGGCAUCAGAUUACUAUGAUGGAUUGGAGAGUAGCUUCCAUCAAUACAAUUGCUAUUUGCAGUAUUGGAAAAUGGUCUUUAUCAACCUCUUCCAUGCGGGUUUCAAGUUUUCUUUAUCAUAUGAAGUCGACAGCAGAUGGUAAUCUAAGAUGCAAGUACUGGAGGAUACACUACAAUGAUAGCAGACUGCAUAUUUGAGCUCAUAAUAGGGACAUAUAGAGCAACAGUUCUUCGAUGUUUCCUAGUGUAGCUUAUUCCUCUCAUGAUGAGCUCAAUGUAUUAGUAACAAAAUGAAACCCUCCAAAACCCCUUUUUUAUUUGUGUUUUCCAGAGAAGUAGCGGUGUUAAAUGCUUAUGUUGUAUGACUAAUGGUGGUGAGCUUUUGUGGAUUGGAAGUAAAACCUGAGUUUAGGUUUGCGUAUGUGAAUAUCUCUUCUAGAUGA